AUCAAUAAGCGGAGGAAAAGCAACUAACAAGGAUUCCCCCAGUAACGGCGAGCGAAGCGGGAAUAGCUCGAGCAGGCAAUCUCUGGUGUUGAUCGCCAGCGAAUUGUGGCCGGAAGAGGCGGCUGCACCUGAGGCGACUCCGUCGAAGUUGACCUGGAAAGGCACGUCGGAGAGGGUGAUAGCCCCGUGCGGGGCGGAGUCGCUGAGGGCCGCUACCGUCUUCGGAGAGUCGGGUUGUUUGGGAAUGCAGCCCAAAGUGGGUGGUAGACUCCAUCUAAAGCCAAAUAGCGGCACGAGACCGAUAGCGAACAAGUACCAUGAGGGAAAGGUGAAAAGCACUUUGGAAAGAGAGUUAAAGAGGCCGCGAAA
rnacentral:rRNA from 1 species